AUGUGAUCGUCUCUCGCAUAUCAAUAAGCGGAGGAAAAGAAACUAACAAGGAUUCCCCUAGUAACGGCGAGUGAAGCGGGAAGAGCUCAAAUUUGAAAUCUUAAAGGGUUUCCCUUUACGAAUUGUAGUUUAAAGAAGUGUUUUCUGUUGAGGUUUUGGUAAAAGUUCUUUGGAAUAGGACAUCAUAGAGGGUGAGAAUCCCGUAUUUGACCUUUACUUUCAACUUUGUGAUACACUUUCAAAGAGUCGGAUUGUUUGGGAAUGCAGUCCAAAAUGGGUGGUAAAUUUCAUCUAAAGCUAAAUAUUGGCGAGAGACCGAUAGCGAACAAGUACCGUGAGGGAAAGAUGAAAAGAACUUUGAAAAGAGAGUUAAACAGUACGUGAAAUUGUCAAAAGGGAAGCGUUUGACACCAGUGUUGUUUUUCUGAAAAUCAAUUAAAGAACUGUUUAUGCUAAGUUGUUUAGACUUUAUCAGCUAACUGUUUAGUUUCGAGCUUUUCUUUAAUGCACUUUUCAGUUAACAAGUCAACAUCAAUUUCUUUUGCUGUAAAAAAGCUUGAGGAAGGUGGCUUGAGAUUCGUCUUAAGUGUUCAUAGCCUCUUGCCUAUGCAGUCAGAGAGAUUGAGGUCUGCAGCGUAGAUCCUUCGGGGCUAAAUGCAUUUGUGCUAAGUUAUAGCAUUUUAUAGACAACUUGUUGACUAUGAUUUGUCUUGUAGCUUACUCACUUAUGUUAUUUUACCUACGCUUAGGAUGUUGAUCUACAGAGCGAGAGU
rnacentral:rRNA from 1 species